rnacentral:rRNA from 1 species
UACGUAGGGUGCAAGCGUUUGUCCGGAAUUAUUGGGCGUAAAGAGCUCGUAGGCGGUUUGUCGCGUCUGCCGUGAAAGUCCGGGGCUCAACUCCGGAUCUGCGGUGGGUACGGGCAGACUAGAGUGAUGUAGGGGAGACUGGAAUUCCUGGUGUAGCGGUGAAAUGCGCAGAUAUCAGGAAGAACACCGAUGGCGAAGGCAGGUCUCUGGGCAUUAACUGACGCUGAGGAGCGAAAGCAUGGGGAGCGAACAGG